UGGCAAAGAUGACAAAAAGGCCGGACUUAUGGCUGCUACCAUGUGGUUGGGAGUAGAUUAAUUGAAGUUACAAGAAGAUACAUCUGCUGAGCCAG